GGAAUAUUGGACAAUGGGGGGAACCCUGAUCCAGCGACGCCGCGUGAGUGAAGAAGUAUUUCGGCAUGUAAAGCUCUAUCAGCAGGGAAGAAGAAAAUGACGGUACCUGACUAAGAAGCCCCGGCUAACUACGUGCCAGCAGCCGCGGUAAUACGUAGGGGGCAAGCGUUAUCCGGAUUUACUGGGUGUAAAGGGAGCGUAGACGGUUAUGUAAGUCUGGAGUGAAAGCCCGGGGCCCAACCCCGGGACUGCUUUGGAAUCUGUGUAACUGGAGUACAGGAGGGGCAGGCGGAAUUCCUGGUGUAGCGGUGAAAUGCGUAGAUAUCAGGAGGAACACCGGCGGCGAAGGCGGCCUGCUGGACUGAAACUGACGUUGAGGCUCGAAAGCGUGGGGAGCAAA
rnacentral:rRNA from 1 species